rnacentral:rRNA from 1 species
AGUGAACGCUGGCGGUAGGCCUAACACAUGCAAGUCGAACGGCAGCACAGGAGAGCUUGCUCUCUGGGUGGCGAGUGGCGGACUGGUGAGGAAUACAUCGGAAUCUACUCUGUCGUGGGGGAUAACGUAGGGAAACUUACGCUAAUACCGCAUACGACCUACGGGUGAAAGCAGGGGAUCUUCGGACCUUGCGCGAUUGAAUGAGCCGAUGUCGGAUUAGCUAGUUGGCGGGGUAAAGGCCCACCAAGGCGACGAUCCGUAGCUGGUCUGAGAGGAUGAUCAGCCACACUGGAACUGAGACACGGUCCAGACUCCUACGGGAGGCAGCAGUGGGGAAUAUUGGACAAUGGGCGCAAGCCUGAUCCAGCCAAACCGCGUGGGUGAAGAAGGCCUUCGGGUUGUAAAGCCCUUUUGUUGGGAAAGAAAUCCAGCUGGCUAAUACCCGGUUGGGAUGACGGUACCCAAAGAAUAAGCACCGGCUAACUUCGUGCCAGCCGCCGCCGUAA